CUCCACACCAUUCUGUUAACUCACCGUUCUGUUGUUGGGGUUACCUCCACACCGUUCUGUUAACUCACCAUUCUGUUGUUAGGGUUACCUCCACACCGUUCUGUUGUUGGGGUUACCUCCACACCGUUCUGUUGUUAGGGUUACCUCCACACCGUUCUGUUGUUGGGGUUACCUCCACACCGUUCUGUUGUUAGGGUUACCUCCACACCGUUCUGUUAACUCACCGUUCUGUUGUUGGGGUUACCUCCACACCGUUCUGUUGUUGGGGUUACCUCCACACCGUUCUGUUGUUGGGGUUACCUCCACACCGUUCUGUUGUUGGGGUUACCUCCACACCGUUCUGUUGUUGGGGUUACCUCCACACCGUUCUGUUGUUAGGGUUACCUCCACACCGUUCUGUUGUUGGGGUUACCUCCACACCGUUCUGUUGUUGGGCUGCUUUUUAACGUAAUUAAUUACCCAUUUUUGGAAGGAAAACUAAUACAUUUUGCAGAUCAUAUUUCAUAGACAUUUGUAAAUACGGGACAGUUACUGACGGUAUAAUAAUCACUUGUUUUUUUCGGAACGAUGCGUGAAGGCUUGAGUUACUACAUGUAGUAGAUAUGUCUGAUAGAGAGCUGUUGUUGUAAUGCAGUGAUGGCGAGGGACAUGAAUUCUCAUGGGAACGUCAUGUAGCAUCAUGUCUGGAAAUACAGAUGUAUGCAGACAUUCUAGAAUACUUUCUAUCAUGUUGGUGUAACAAUGAAAGCAUUCCUCCCAUUUGUUUUCUAUCAUGUUGGUGUAACAAUGAAAGCAUUCCUCCCAUUUGUUUUCUAUCAUGUUGGUGUAACAAUGAAAGCAUUCCUCCCAUUUGUUUUCUAUCAUGUUGGUGUAACAAUGAAAGCAUUCCUCCCAUUUGUUUUCUAUCAUGUUGGUGUAACAAUGAAAGCAUUCCUCCCAUUUGUUUUCUAUCAUGUCGGUGUAACAAUGAAAGCAUUCCUCCCAUUUGUUUUCUAUCAUGUCGGUGUAACAAUGAAAGCAUUCCUCCCAUUUGUUUUCUAUCAUGUUGGUGUAACAAUGAAAGCAUUCCUCCCAUUUGUUUUCUAUCAUGUCGGUGUAACAAUGAAAGCAUUCCUCCCAUUUGUUUUCUAUCCUGUUGGUGUAACAAUGAAAGCAUUCCUCCAUUUGUUUUGGCGUUCAUUCUCUUCAGAUCUGAAAGACAUGUUUAAAUUGGUAUUUUCUCCUUAUCGACGUACUUUGUACAAGCAGCUUGUUACCUUGUCUUCCGGCUACUUUUUGUCAACUCUGUAACAUAUCGAACUGAUCAGUGUGAACUGAUAUUGUAUAAAAAUUAAAUUACUUUUGUCUUUUUUUUAAAUCCAGUGUGGGUG
ensembl:lncRNA